ACCUGAAACAUGGCUUUGCAGUGAGCUUUGUCUCCUAUCUGAACAAAUGUUUUAAAGCUUUUAAUGUUUUUGACAAGCUCCCACACACAGACAAAUAUUCAAGUCCUGACUAAGGCUGUCUUUUGACCUAGAAGAGGAGAGAGAGUUUCUCUGGGGAUUUUCAGAGGGCCCCUGGUAAUUCUCAGAGAGAUUUGCUCUCUUUCUAUAACAAACAUGCUAAACUAAUUAGGCUCAUUUUGUAUGUUAAAUUACAUGAGAAGCAUUGUCAAAUAGGUAACAGUAAACUUUCUUAAAUGGCAUUAUGUGAAUGAGUGUUAUUGACAUAAAUAUUUUAAAAAUUACCUGAUCUGUUUUUAUUGUCAGCCAUAAUUCUUGUUAUUAUUCCAAAAUGUUGUAUAUCACAGAGGUGGUCAAAUGCCUUUGUCAAUUACCAUUUUUGAAGGUUUUGUUAUUUACAGUCAGUUGCUGUUUUACUUUGAUGUUUUUACAAAUAUGUUUCAUCUUCAGUGAAAUUCAUAGAAAGGACUCUGACACUCUAGAAUACAGGUUUCCAAUAAAAUUUGAGAUUGUAAAACUAAACUGGGUAAAAAUUACAGAACUCUACCAGAGAAACUGAUGCCUUUGCAAAACGCUAACAAGAUUAAGAUCAAGAGCCAAUCAUACAGGACUGAAUAAACCAAUAGGGAUGAUAAUAAUUUUUAUGCCUUUUUCAUUGAGACACUGCUGAUAUUUGAUGUUUUGUUUUUUCUGGUUUUAAGAAAACCUUUUUCUCUGUUCUCUUAAGGAACUAUGAUUUAUAGCAAAUGUAAACAAAAUUGAAGCAUUCAUCUUUUUAUCCCAAUCUGAGCCCUCCAAAAUGUAAAAUCUCCUGAUGAGUACGUAUUCUUAUUCUCAUGGGAAUAUGACUGUUUGCAUGAGUCCAAGAAGAAUCUGUUCUUCUUAUAACAGGACACAAUUAGAAACACUGGUUAUAUUACCAAGGCUUUGACUAGAACAUCAUAUUUGAAAAAAAUACGGGCUUGGAUAUAAGAAGACAGCUUUUGAGGAACAAAGGUUGACAUUCUGGAAUAAAGCCACUUUGAAAUAUUGGCCUGGUAUCUUGCUUAUAGGUUCAGUUACCUGGUAAGUUUGAGCAAAGAAUGUCACUCCCUAUGGCAGAUACAAGGAACCUCAAUAUUUUGGGGAACCUCACAAAGAGAGGUAUUCACCCAAAUCUGUAGGUACUGCAAGCAGAAUCUGAGGACAGGUCCUUUGCUUGGCUUUCCUUGAGAGGCCUUUAAAGUUCAACGUGAGAUUCCCUAUAAGGUUCCAGUAAAGAAGAUUUAAAAGGGCCUAUAUAAUCAAUUACUAUUCUUACUGCACUUAUGUAAACAAUUAUGCCAAAUUUAUUAAAACUAGACUUAUUUUACAAACCAGUUAGCCUUAAUUUGGCUGUAUCUAGUGGAAUUGAGGGUUAUUUUAGAGAGAAAGAUUGUGUUUCAAUAGAAACUAUAAUACACAUUUGUGGAUGUUGGAUUUUUGUUGUGUCAGUUGUAUUUAAGAUUUUUGUUACAUCAGUUAACUGGAUUGGAUAUUGAAUUCUUUUAGUCUCCUGAAAUAUAUGGCUACAAACCUCCAAAUUAACAUUUUCAGGGUUUUUCUCCAUCAUUUUCAUUUGGAGUCAUUGACAACUAUAUCUGCCCUCUUUUCUAAAGCCUUGGAAACUGAGGCUGGAGGACUUAAUAUAAACUUAAGAGAGAUUCAUGUCUACUGCUGUCUCAAAAAGCUACCUGAGUGCUUGAUGACGCCAUCAGAGAUAUUUGAAACUGCAAAAGAUGCUUCAACCUUGACUUCUAGGAAUCUUGAUUGGCUGCCCCUUGAGCUCAGGAACUGGUUUAUACUUCACUCCCAGCAUUAACCUUGUUUUUCUCUUUUUGUUUCUCUAGAAAAACUUCUUAUUAAAUAUCUGGUUACUUACUUACAUGAUACAGGCCUAACUUUGGGAGCCCACCUGCAUCACCACUUUAUUAAAAUACUAGUUCAAUGAGAUGAAACAACCUAUGCCCCAUUUCAGCAGGAAGUAGCUCGAUGUGUCACCAUCCCAAAUCCCUCCAGAUUGAAGGAUGGACAUAAAAUAGGGGGGAAUUGAUAC
rnacentral:lncRNA from 1 species